AUUGAACGCUGGCGGAAUGCUUUACACAUGCAGGUCGAGCGGCAGCGCGGGGCAACCUGGCGGCGAGCGGCGAACGGGUGAGUAAUGCAUCGGAACGUGCCCAAUCGUGGGGGAUAACGUAGCGAAAGUUACGCUAAUACCGCAUAAGCCCUGAGGGGGAAAGUGGGGGCCGCAAGGCCUCACGCGAAUGGAGCGGCCGAUGUCAGAUUAGCUAGUUGGUGGGGUAAAGGCCCACCAAGGCGACGAUCUGUAGCGGGUCUGAGAGGAUGAUCCGCCACACUGGGACUGAGACACGGCCCAGACUCCUACGGGAGGCAGCAGUGGGGAAUUUUGGACAAUGGGCGCAAGCCUGAUCCAGCCAUGCCGCGUGAGUGAUGAAGGCCUUAGGGUUGUAAAGCUCUUUUGCCGGGGAUGAUAAUGACCGUACCCGGAGAAUAAGCCACGGCUAAAUUCGUG
rnacentral:rRNA from 1 species